rnacentral:rRNA from 1 species
AAUACCGCAUACGUCCUACGGGAGAAAGCAGGGGACCUUCGGGCCUUGCGCUAUCAGAUGAGCCUAGGUCGGAUUAGCUAGUUGGUGAGGUAAUGGCUCACCAAGGCGACGAUCCGUAACUGGUCUGAGAGGAUGAUCAGUCACACUGGAACUGAGACACGGUCCAGACUCCUACGGGAGGCAGCAGUGGGGAAUAUUGGACAAUGGGCGAAAGCCUGAUCCAGCCAAGGCGCGUGUGUGAAGAAGGUCUUCGGA